GCAUAUCAAUAAGCGGAGGAAAAGAAACCAACUGGGAUUGCCUCAGUAACGGCGAGUGAAGCGGCAAAAGCUCAAAUUUGAAAUCUGGCUCCCUAGCAGGGGUCCGAGUUGUAAUUUGAAGAGGAUGCUUCGGGUGCGGCCGCGGCGCAAGUUCCUUGGAACAGGACGUCAUAGAGGGUGAGAAUCCCGUCUUGAGUCGCCGGCACGCGCCCAUGUGAAGCUCCUUCGACGAGUCGAGUUGUUUGGGAAUGCAGCUCUAAGCGGGUGGUAAAUUUCAUCUAAAGCUAAAUAUUGGCCGGAGACCGAUAGCGCACAAGUAGAGUGAUCGAAAGGUUAAAAGCACCUUGAAAAGGGAGUUAAAUAGCACGUGAAAUUGUUGAAAGGGAAGCGCUUGCGGCCAGACUCGGGCGCGGGGGUUCAGCGGGCAUUCGUGCCCGUGUACUCCCCCGCGAUCCGGGCCAGCAUCGGUUUGGGCGGUCGGUCAAAGGCCCUCGGAAUGUGUCGCCUCUCGGGGCGUCUUAUAGCCGGGGGUGCAAUGCGGCCUGCCUGGACCGAGGAACGCGCUUCGGCACGGAUGCUGGCGUAAUGGCCGUAAGCGGCCCGUCUUGAAACACGGACC
rnacentral:rRNA from 2 species